AUGACCCCACACCGCUGCUCCCCCACUCCUCCAGCGCCGUCUACCUGCCCGUCCACGGCCGCCUCGUCGCCGUCCGACCACUCGCCUCCCUCACCGGCCAACGCUGCCCCGUCAACGUCCAGCCACUCGCCUCCCUUGCCGGCCAGCCUCCCCUUGCGCGCCCUCCAACCAUUCCAGCGGCGCCUUCAUCCCCGACGACCGGCUCCCCUCGUAGAUUCGCAGUACAGCGCCGCUUCGAUCCCCAUCGACCGGCGCUUCCAGCGCCGCCCCUUCGACGUCCAACAGUCUCCCUCGUGGUCGAGCCUCUCCAGCGCCUCCGCAUCGACCGGCGCUUCCAGCGCCGCCCCUUCGACGUCCAACAACCCCCCUCGUCGUCGAGCCUCUCCAGCGCCUCCGCAUCGACCGGCGCCUCCUCGUCCUCCAGAUCUGACUCACUUCCUCGCCCUUUGUUUCCUUUCCAGCCCAGCGCCUCCAAAUCGACCAAAAAAGGUAACAGCUCGUAGACCUUUCAUGUUUAGUAAUAGCAGAGUUCACUAG
rnacentral:rRNA from 1 species